AUUUCAGUCCCCGAAACGUGAAACUACACGAGGCAUGUAUGUUUUAUUGCCGUUGAUAUCUCUACUAUUUUGUGUGUUCCUUGCAUCAGCCGCUCCAACCAGCUGUGUACCCAAAACAUGCGUUUCUAUGGGUUAUGUGUGCGCACCAUUCAAGUUCUGUCAAGAAAAGGUAUCUGUGUGCCGAAAUAGCUGUAAAAGGCGGUCUCUUUGCUGCAAACAAAAAAAAAUGAAGUCCUGCUCCUCGGCUGGAGGAACUUGUAAAAGAAGAUGCGAAGUUGAAAACAACACGAUCAAAUGCCCUGGACGACUGAAGUGCUGUGUUCAUUUGGAGCGCUAAGCCAACGCUGAGCAGCCAUUGCCGCAACUUGCCAACACGCUAGUUGCUGUAGUUUGCUGGCUUGACAAACGAACGACGACCUCAAGAGUCCCCAUCCAUAUCCUUCUACCCAUUUUGUGCUUCGAAUAAAAAGUGACACGUAUAGAUAAAGAGCAGUAAAG